AAAAAAAAAAAAAAAUUAAAUAAAAAUAAAUAAAAUGUGCCUCGAUGGUGAGCUUUGUUUGUCGUGUUACCAACCCUCCAAUUAAAAAGUUGUAAGAUAGAAGCUUUGUGGGGAAGCUUCUGGUUGUCUUGGCCCCAUCCAGGUUUCCUGUAUAUUCCAGGUUUUUUCUGGCCUCCCUGACUAUCCAGCUAUAGUAUGAGUGAUGGUAACGCCCAAUUUAUCAUCUGGCAGCAGCUGUCUUGUAUACAAAUACAGCUGUGGUGGGAGUUCGUCUAUGGGGAAUACACAUGCUGUGUAUUUGUGGGGUUGAAGUGUUUCCAAUGGUCAACUUCAGGCCCAUAGACUCAGGUUAUUUAUGUAAAUAUAAUCACUCGAAUCGUAGGUACUGUCCAAGGGGAUUAUCACCCCUUGGUUCAGGUCUAUGUCACAGGGGGUCGCUACCCUUCGGGCAGAGCUCCUAUGGAGCAUUCAGUCUCUCCUAGCAGGUCUUAUAUAUACGCCUGCGGGAUGAAAACAUAAGGCUUAAUGAGUCUUUGGGUUGACCAGAGUCUGAGAGUAUAAUGUAUAUAAUUGGUUCACUUCACCCUGAACCCAUUCUCCCACAAUAAUUUGGUGUGUGUUUUACUUAUUUUCGGGCUGUUCUUUCACCUAACGUGCUUGAAUUAUUAAAGCAAAUUUAUAUAUAACAAUAUAUAAAUUCAAGUUAAUGAGACAACACGUUUGUCACCUUCAAACCUGGUUAUAAUCUCAUAGUAACAGGAUAAGCUUGUCAACAGCCACAAAAAGGCGAUAUCCAAUAGUCCAAAGUUCAAAUGUUUCUCUGGGCAUGUAUAAAACCGAAUGAAAGAUCAACUGACCAAUCAUAUGUCAACAACGAACACGCAGAACAAAGGUCAAUGUGAUAAGGGAGUUCACUUUGACAAAUAUCCCAACAAAGAGCAAUGUCUUGUUACCGAGAACGAAAAUUUCCACCCACCCACCCGUUCAUGUUCCUGGUAUCUGGUGCAUUGUAUGGGUACUAACUAAUGUUAUGCAAGGGCUGUUCAAGAACAUUUUGUCAAGAAAGACUAUCGAACAAUUUUCUCAUGGAAAAUUAUCGCUAUGUAAAUACUUAAAUGCAUGGGUUUAUGUUGAAAGAAAUAAACUUUGGUUCGGGGUUGAAGUGUUCCCAAUGGUCAACUUCAGGCCCAUAGACUCAGGUUAUUUAUGUAAAUAUAAUCAGUCGAAUCGUAGGUACUGUCCAAGGGGAUUAUCACCCCUUGGUUCAGGUCUAUGUCAGAGGGGGUCGCUACCCUUCGGGCAGAGCUCCUAUGGAGCAUUCAGUCUCUCCAAGCAGGUCUUAUAUAUACGCCUACGGGAUGAAAACAUAAGGCUUAAUGAGUCUUUGGGUUGACCAGAGUUUGAGAGUAUAAUGUAUAUAAUUGGUUCACUUCACCCUGAACCCAUUCUCCCACAAUGAUUUGGUGUGUGUUUUACUUAUUUUCGGGCUGUUCUUUCACCUAACGUGCUUGAAUUAUUAACGCUUCGGUUACACUUUGCGUUAAAUCACAGUUAAUAGAAUACAUGGGUUGGAGACUCGAUGAAAGUACAAUAUAACUCAUUAACUAUGUUGGUUUCGGUUUAUGCAAGAAUUUGGGCCUAUCUCGUCACGUGUGUAUAGUAUUUUUUUUCCGCACAACCAAUAGUAAUAUUUAAAUUGAGCAUUUGUUCAAGUUACGGAUGGAUAAGUUAAACUCAACCACAAACUUGUUAUUGGUUAUUUGAGCGAAAAUACAAUACGCACGUGACGAGAUAGGACCAAAUUCUUGCAUAAAGCUGGACAAUAACAUAGUUACUGAGUUAUAUUGUACUUCCAUGGAGUCUCCAAACCAUCUAUUAAAAUAACUGUCGUUAAAUUAACCUAUAAGUUGUUACGACAAAUACUCGUUGCUGUGUAAUCAGUUGAACCAUUCUUAUAUACUCGAACUGACGGUAAGACGAAUUUGUAAUUUGACAUAUUUGUGUUGCUUUUCUUUUUAGAAGCUAUAUUAAAUUCCCAGAGGUAUAACAAUGCACGUUUUAACAACAAAAGAGUGAUUUCUAUAGGGGAACGGGGUUUCUUUUUUUUGGGGGGGGGACACCCUGUAGAUCGCUGACCAACUGCAUGCAAGUAGUCACGAGCCGGUUGUUCAAAGACAGGUUAGCUUAACCCCAGGUUAACCUAAACUUCCUGACAGCUUGUCUAUAAAUUUGGAAAUGUUUCUUCAGAAAUCUUGGCUGAGUCGAUAGGAGUUUUCUUCUCUGAAGUUUUGAAUUAAACAGACGUGCAGAAAUACUGACAUAAACUAAAACAGCAGGUUAAAUUUUAACCAAGGGUUAGCGCUAACCCACCUUUGAACAACUGGCCCAGAUUACUCUGACAAGUUUUCUUUGUUGACCCAUACAGACGACCAAAUUUGUACUUGACAAUUUUUACUUUUGUUUUAGCUUCUGAACAAGUGACUUGUUCAAAAGCUAGCAUGCAUAGAUCCAUGCUAGCUCAAGUGUACUUGUCACAGUAAAAAUUGUCAAAGUUGUGUAUACAGACGAGCAAAUGAAACUUGUCCGUAUAUUUGCUCAACCGGAAACGGCAAGGUAGAAGACCAAAUUACUUACAUUUUUGUAUUCGAACCAAAGCAUAUAUCACUAUUCACUAAACUCUAUUUGCCUCUCAAAAAUACUUGUCUUACUCUUAAACAAAACUAUAGAAGUAGUGAAAUAAAACACCCGAACUUCGAACGUUUUAAUUGUUGGCGUGGUUACGAGCCGUGAAAAUAAUGUAAAUAAUUUAACGUCGCGGUUUGAACUUACAGUACGACAUACCAGAAUGCUCAAGGGAAUACAAUUUAUAGUCGCCUUUGAAACUUGUUAAUGGCGUUUCACUGACGGUGCCGCUGUAUUUGUCUAGCUCACUAUUAUUUGGUAACAGCUACAGUAUUAACAGAACAAAUAUACCAAAAUGACAACAAGCCGCACAAGCGGAAAUGGAAGGUCAUGCAUGUAUUUUAGGUGUAAUUAAUUAAUCUCGUGACAUGAUCAUGACUAGUUAUUUUCUCGUAGCAAUGAAGAGUAUAUAGACUAUGGACUAUAGUCUGUAUAAAUUAGUUCUAAAUUGUUCCGACCGUGGUUAUAUUAAAUGUAAAUUGAAGUAACCAAAACAUUUAUAUUGCAAUGAUAUAUCUAGUUCAUUUAUAAUCAGACCGAGUUGAAUAAGGUCACGAGACAGUAAGGUUGAAUUUCACAUUGUUGAUAUAAACAAAGUGAAGUUCAAGCUUUGAUCCAACGGUGAACAGUCCAUCUCACUUCAUUUGGGCUGCCAAGAGCACCAUUGACCCAAGCAUGAACAUGAGCUUUUCCUGCAGCUUUAUCCCAACGUAAUGUGACUUUGCCGUUUCCAUUACCAAUAUUGAGUGUGUCAGAACUCUUGUCUUCGUGAUGCAUUGAAACAUGGAUAGCAUUCUCAGGCACGUCAUAAGUAUAAUCUUCUUUCUUACCGAAACCAAAUGAACCUUUGAGAUUACCCGAACCAAGUUCAAUCUUUAAUGUUGACAUUUUUAAAUAUAUAAUUUAUAUGUUGAUUGCUGCCGAAGGCAGCACACUAUUCUUGACGAUGUGUUUUUCUCGCACCAGUUCGUUU